AACGAACGCUGGCGGCAUGCCUAACACAUGCAAGUCGAACGAGACCUUCGGGUCUAGUGGCGCACGGGUGCGUAACGCGUGGGAAUCUGCCCUUGGGUGCGGAAUAACAGUUAGAAAUGACUGCUAAUACCGCAUAAUGACUCCGGUCCAAAGAUUUAUCGCCCAAGGAUGAGCCCGCGUCGGAUUAGCUAGUUGGUGAGGUAAAAGCUCACCAAGGCGACGAUCCGUAGCUGGUCUGAGAGGAUGAUCAGCCACACUGGGACUGAGACACGGCCCAGACUCCUACGGGAGGCAGCAGUGGGGAAUAUUGGACAAUGGGCGAAAGCCUGAUCCAGUAAUGCCGCGUGAGUGAUGAGGGCCUUAGGGUUGUAAAGCUCUUUUACCCGGGAUGAUAAUGACAGUACCGGGAGAAUAAGCCCCGGCUAACUCCGUGCCAGCCGCCGCCGUAAAAC
rnacentral:rRNA from 1 species